AAUAUUGGUCAAGGGAGGCAACUCUGAACCAGCCACGCCGCGUGAAGGAUGACGGCCNNNUGGGUNGNAAACUUCUUUUGUAUNGGNNUAAACCUUUCUACGUGUAGGAAGCUGAAGGUACCAUACGAAUAAGCAUCGGCUAAUUCCGUGUCAGCAGCCGCGGUAAUACGGAGGAUGCAAGCGUUAUCCGGAUUCAUUGGGUUUAAAGGGUGCGUAGGCGGAAGAAUAAGUCAUGGGUGAAAGCCGGUCGCUUAACGAUCGAAUUGCCUUUGAUACUGUUUUUCUUGAGUUUGGUUGAAGUGGGCGGAAUGUGAAGUGUAGCAGUAAAAUGCAUAGAGAUUUCACAGAACACCGAUUGCGAAGGCAGCUCACUAAGCCACAACUGACGCUGAUGCACGAAAGCGUGGGGAUCAAACA
rnacentral:rRNA from 1 species